rnacentral:sRNA from 1 species
AAUACUCUUGUAAAUUUGUCUGUGAGAUGUUAUACUUAUGAUGUGUUUUUGUUAGGUAUAGAAAUUGUGUAAGGUAUUACUCCUUUCGAACCAUUAGCAAGAAUAUGAAUAACAAGUGCUAUGGCACAAGGAGGAAAUGUUCAUGGAACAAGGUACAGUAAAAUGGUUUAACUCAGAAAAAGGUUUUGGGUUUAUCGAACGUGAAGGUGGAAACGAUGUAUUCGUACACUUCUCAGCAAUCCAAUCAGAAGGAUUCAAAACAUUAGAAGAAGGACAAGCAGUUCAAUUCGAUGUUGAAGAAGGCGCUCGUGGACCACAAGCAGCUAACGUAGUUAAACUAUAAUUUAACUUAAAC